rnacentral:rRNA from 1 species
UGGACGAAGUCUGACGGAGCACGCCGCGUGAACGAUGAAGGCUUUCGGGUCGUAAAGUUCUGUUGUCAGGGAAGAACAAGUACCGGAGUAACUGCCGGUACCUUGACGGUACCUGACCAGAAAGCCACGGCUAACUACGUGCCAGCAGCCGCGGUAAUACGUAGGUGGCAAGCGUUGUCCGGAAUUAUUGGGCGUAAAGCGCGCGCAGGCGGUUCCUUAAGUCUGAUGUGAAAGCCCCCGGCUCAACCGGGGAGGGUCAUUGGAAACUGGGGAACUUGAGUGCAGAAGAGGAGAGCGGAAUUCCACGUGUAGCGGUGAAAUGCGUAGAGAUGUGGAGGAACACCAGUGGCGAAGGCGGCUCUCUGGUCUGUAACUGACGCUGAGGCGCGAAAGCGUGGGGAGCGAACAGGAUUAGAUACCCUGGUAGUCCACGCCGUAAACGAUGAGUGCUAAGUGUUAGAGGGUUUCCGCCCUUUAGUGCUGCAGCAAACGCAUUAAGCACUCCGCCUGGGGAGUACGGCCGCAAGGCUGAAACUCAAAGGAAUUGACGGGGGCCCGCACAAGCGGUGGAGCAUGUGGUUUAAUUCGAAGCAACGCGAAGAACCUUACCAGGUCUUGACAUCCUCUGACAACCCUAGAGAUAGGGCGUUCCCCUUCGGGGGACAGAGUGACAGGUGGUGCAUGGUUGUCGUCAGCUCGUGUCGUGAGAUGUUGGGUUAAGUCCCGCAACGAGCGCAACCCUUGAUCUUAGUUGCCAGCAUUCAGUUGGGCACUCUAAGGUGACUGCCGGUGACAAACCGGAGGAAAGGUGGGGAUGACGUCAAA